GAUCUGUACUUCUCCACAACUUUGUCCCUGACCUGUUGGGAGAGCUCCUUUGUCUUCAUGGUGUCGCUUGCUUGGUGGUGUUGCAGACUCUGGGGCCUUUCAGAACAGGUGUAUAUAUAUACUGAGAUCAUGUUACACUUAAAUAAAGUCUACCUGUGUAUAAUCUAACUAAUUAUGUGACUUCUGAAGGUAAUUGGUUGCACCAGAUCUUAUUUAAGGGCUUCAUAGCAAAGGGGGUGAACACAUAUGCACACACCACUAUUCAGUUUUUAAAAAAAAUGUUGAAAUAAUUUAUUGAAAUAAAUAUAUUUUUUAAUUUCACUUCACCAAUUUGGACUAUUUUGUGUGUGUCCAUUACAUGAAAUCCAAAUAAAAAUCAAUUUAAAUUACAGGUUGUAAUGCAACAAAAUAGGAAAAAUGCCAUGGGGGGGGUGAAUACUUUACGCUGUACCAUGAGACUGAGGACCAACAGUUUAUAUAUUAAACUCCUGGAUACCGUGAUGUCAUCCAGAGGAAUGAAUGGUAUUCACCAGUAGUUCAGUUUAAAUGUUUAUAUAUUAAACUCCUGGAUACCGUGAUGUCAUCCAGAGGAAUGAAUGGUAUUCACCAGUAGUUCAGUUUAAAUGUUGAUAUAUUAAACUCCUGGAUACCGUGAUGUCAUCCAGAGGAAUGAAUGGUAUUCAACAGUAGUUCAGUUUAAAUGUUUAUAUAUUAAACUCCUGGAUACCGUGAUGUCAUCCAGAGGAAUGAAUGGUAUUCACCAGUAGUUCAGUUUAAAUGUUUAUAUAUUAAACUCCUGGAUACCGUGAUGUCAUCCAGAGGAAUGAAUGGUAUUCAACAGUAGUUCAGUUUAAAUGUUUAUAUAUUAAACUCCUGGAUACCGUGAUGUCAUCCAGAGGAAUGAAUGGUAUUCACCAGUAGUUCAGUUUAAAUGUUUAUAUAUUAAACUCCUGGAUACCGUGAUGUCAUCCAGAGGAAUGAAUGGGUAUUCACCAGUAGUUCAGUUAAAUGUUGAUAUAUUAAACUCCUGGAUACCGUGAUGUCAUCCAGAGGAAUGAAUGGUAUUCACCAGUAGUUCAGUUUAAAUGUUUAUAUAUUAAACUCCUGGAUACCGUGAUGUCAUCCAGAGGAAUGAAUGGUAUUCACCAGUAGUUCAGUUUAAAUGUUUAUAUAUUAAACUCCUGGAUACCGUGAUGUCAUCCAGAGGAAUGAAUGGUAUUCACCAGUAGUUCAGUUAAAUGUUGAUAUAUUAAACUCCUGGAUACCGUGAUGUCAUCCAGAGGAAUGAAUGGUAUUCACCGGUAGUUCAUUUAAAUGUUUAUAUAUUAAACUCCUGGAUACCGUGAUGUCAUCCAGAGGAAUGAAUGGUAUUCACCAGUAGUUCAGUUUAAAUGUUGAUAUAUUAAACUCCUGGAUACCGUGAUGUCAUCCAGAGGAAUGAAUGGUAUUCACCAGUAGUUCAUUUAAAUGUUUAUAUAUUAAACUCCUGGAUACCGUGAUGUCAUCCAGAGGAAUGAAUGGUAUUCACCAGUAGUUCAGUUUAAAUGUUUAUAUAUUAAACUCCUGGAUACCGUGAUGUCAUCCAGAGGAAUGAAUGGUAUUCACCAGUAGUUCAGUUAAAUGUUUAUAUAUUAAACUCCUGGAUACCGUGAUGUCAUCCAGAGGAAUGAAUGGUAUUCACCGGUAGUUCAGUUUAAAUGUUUAUAUAUUAAACUCCUGGAUACCGUGAUGUCAUCCAGAGGAAUGAAUGGUAUUCACCAGUAGUUCAGUUUAAAUGUUUAUAUAUUA